UAGCGUGUGGCCGCCUUUUCCAGCAUGGCCUCCUGCUUCCCUGGUGCACUUUUUGGAGAAGGUGGUGGAAUCAGAGGUUUCUGGCUGACUCGGUGGGUGCUUUGAACCAGGAAAGGACAAGAAAGAGGUGAGUUGCACUUGGCAGUCAUAGUACAGCUGCCUCCCUGUGGCUCUUCUUGCUUUGAGGUUUUGCUCCUUCUUCAGUGCAACCCUUUGCCCAGACAUCCCUAAUGCCCCCAGCUCAGAGCAGCAGUUUGCAGGCAGGAGCUUUGCAGUUAGCCAUCGGAGAACCCCAAAGACAGGGUUAAUAAGUACAAACAGUCAUCACAAUUCAGGCCAGGCUGUGUGCUCCUGACUUUUAGUUGAAUCAACUCAUUUUUACCUCUC
rnacentral:lncRNA from 1 species